AUUGAACGCUGGCGGCAGGCUUAACACAUGCAAGUCGAGCGGAGAUGAGGUGCUUGCACCUUAUCUUAGCGGCGGACGGGUGAGUAAUGCUUAGGAAUCUGCCUAUUAGUGGGGGACAACAUUCCGAAAGGAAUGCUAAUACCGCAUACGUCCUACGGGAGAAAGCAGGGGAUCUUCGGACCCUGCGCUAAUAGAUGAGCCUAAGUCGGAUUAGCUUGUUGGUGGGGUAAAGGCCUACCAAGGCGACGAUCUGUAGCGGGUCUGAGAGGAUUAUCCGCCACACUGGGACUGAGACACGGCCCAGACUCCUACGGGAGGCAGCAGUGGGGAAUAUUGGGCAAUGGGGGGAACCCUGAUCCAGCCAUGCCGCGUGUGUGAAGAAGGCCUUAUGGUUGUAAAGCACUUUAAGCGAGGAGGAGGCUACUGAGACUAAUACUCUUGGAUAGUGGACGUUACUCGCAGAAUAAGCACCGGCUAACUCUGUGCCAGCAGCCGCCGUAACAC
rnacentral:rRNA from 1 species